AUAUCUUCAGCUUCUGAGUUGGAGGUCAGGAUCACAAACACGUGCUGUCGGUGUGGUUUGUUGUCGCUGUGGUUUAACGGCUGUGUUUGUCAGAGGAGCUCUCCAGAGGAUGGGCCAUACCGUGCUGGGAAGGGUCUUUUAUCCCAAGAGGCUGGAAUGGAAGUUUUACAAUGCACAUUUAGAAGUGGGUGAACAGGGAAGUUUCCUCUCGAGUGACUGCUGUGUCCCUGGCGUUGCGGCUGUGUGACGUGGCCAACAUCUGGCAGACCUUCCUGGACCACUGCUGCCUACAGCAGCAAGGCUGGCACAGUGCCGGGGCUCUCCCCUUUUUUGCUGGAGACAUGACAGCAACCCAAAAGAAGAAAAGAUGCUACCGUCUGGCAGGAUGACUCCGAAUCCAGCUCCUGCCAAUGCUUUAACCAUCCAGCACUCAGGUCAUCACAGUCACAAAGGCCAGGAAGUUAUUGCACAUGUUGUACCCCACUCACCCCUUCCGAUCCUGACUCUGCAGCACACGGGUGGGCGGCCCAGGCUGGGCUGUACCUGCUCAGGACGGCACAUGCUCGCCCUCCUCCCCAGCAGCUGCCACGUUUCGGAGGUGCUGCCUCCGGAGCCACGAGCUCCGGUGUCCCGCGGGGCACAAUGGGCUGGAGAGACGUCACGCAGACCGCGGUCGUGCUGGUGCCGCUGGCGUGGAGGCUGCCAGCGGGAGCGAGGCCGGCCUCCCCUCGCCUCCUCCAGGAGGGCUGCAAAGGCAGGAGAACUGCAGCCAGUUUGGCUCGUUGCACAAGCAGCGAACACAGCAGCCUUCCCCUGCAUCGCCUUCGCGUUUUGGGGACAGGAGGUGCCAUGCUGCAUUGCCUGGCCCAUCCCUGAACGCCGAGACCGUGUGGCCAAGAGAUGAGCCAUUUUAAUGAGCCCAGAAUGAACUUUUUUCCUCUGCUAGGCACAAGCACGGGAUAAAUGUUGUGAAAUACAGCGGGAGAGCAGCAUCCCAGCCAUCAUUAUGGGGCGCUGGGUCCUUCUCAGCCUCCCCGUUCACCCUGUCACUGGAGGGGGGGACUCAGACUCCCAGUGGCUAAGUGACUGGGUCAAGGUCUCGUGGGAAAUCUGUGCCAGAGCUGAGGGCUGGGCUUCAGCUCUAUCUGGACUUUUUGUCUUUCUGUGACUGCCAUGAACGUGCGGGUGCCUUGCUGAAUUGUGAGGCAAAGCCCUCAGGGCUUCUGUUCAAAGAUUCAACAUCUGUAAGUAUUUUCUUUACCUUUUUUUUUUUUACCUGGAUGAAGUGACCCACUUUUUGGCCGUUGUGAAGACUGUUU
rnacentral:lncRNA from 1 species